rnacentral:lncRNA from 13 species
GUUUGAGAUAAACAAAGAACCAGAGUCCUAGAAGGGAUCCAUUAACAUUAAUAAGUUGCAGAGAAGAGGAAUCAGUGGAGGAGAUUGAAAAGAAGCAACCAUUGAAGUAGCAGGAAAAGAGACUGAGGCGAACUAGGAGCCAAAUGAAGAAAGUAUUUUAAGGAAGAGAGAAUGGUCACUGCUACUGAUUAUCAAACAAUAUGAGGACUCAGAACUCAUCAUUGGGUUUAGCAGUCUUGAGGUCAUUGCUGACCUGACAAGAAGAGAUUUCAUGAAUUGUAAUGAAAGCUUGACUGGAAUGGGUUUAAGAGAGAGUAGGAAGACACUAAUGGCAGCUCCUUUGAAGAGUUUUACUGCAAAGAUCUCUCUCCCUCUUUCUGACUUUAGAGCCUUGAGCCACUUUGUAUGAAUUUAGGCUACCCUAAAACCACCAUGGAACCAUGUGGGAAGUCUACAUGCCCAAGGAGCCACAGCUGCUCUCGUCCUGACUGUUUGGGUCCUCCCAGAUCUGGCAUCCGUGGGCAUGGAAGGAAGCAGGAGGUUGCUUCCCAAGUCAACUUCAAAGAGUCUUCUGAGGAGUAUUACUUAUAUGGCAACUGGGCUAUUGUGGGAAUAACAGUUUGUUAACCGAGUUAAGCAAAGGAGUGAUUGAAUCUGCCCUGGCAGAGUUGCAUUCUUGAAGAUAAGGGGCUAUGAUCUGAGACUCACAAAGUCUGAAGCUUUGAUAGUCCAAAGUCCCUGAACUUUGUCACACAGAUGGCUGAACUGCCAUCAGGGAAUUGAAACGAGAUCAUGAUGCAGCAAAUUCUCUGUGCGCCACGAUCCCAGUACUUAUUGAACGGUUUUGUAAACAGUAUAAAUAUUAACUUUGUCUCUUGUGUGGCAAGCCUGAGUUAGGUAAUAGUGCAACAGUAAUGACAGCCUCUGAAAGUGAGAUUUAGUCAGGUAAAUGAGAAAAGGAUUUCAGUUUUGCUAUUUGCUUUUGAUGGGCACGUGGAAAUGUCUGCCUCCAGGAAGUAACAGACAGGCACAUCAGUUCUCUAAAUACAUCCAUUCUCAACCUUAGCUGACUUCAGAAUCACCAAAAUACAGGAAGCUAGGCCCUACCCACAUCAGUUGAAUUUGAAAUUUAUGUGGGGUAGGGGUGGAAGGAUUUCUGGAAUUUUAAAUCCUGACUCAGAAUUGAGGGAGGAUCACUCUUCUCAUGCUACUGCAAAAAGUGUCUGAGACAUAAAUUUAAAUAUACUUAACUCUGAUUGUUAACUCUAUAUGCGUGCUGUUUGUUUACUGUCAUCAACACUGUGAUUAUUCACGGAAAUCCUGCCCCUUCCAUUCUUAGCACUAGUUCCUUAUCUGUAGCUCCCAAUGUUUAUUUCUCGUAAAGUUCCCCCCAAACCACAAUGUAAAUAUGGACAGAAACAGC